rnacentral:rRNA from 1 species
GACGAACGCUGGCGGCGUGCCUAAUACAUGCAAGUCGAACGCACAGUUUAUACCGUAGCUUGCUACACCAUAAACUGUGAGUUGCGAACGGGUGAGUAACGCGUAGGUAACCUGCCUGGUAGCGGGGGAUAACUAUUGGAAACGAUAGCUAAUACCGCAUAAUAUUGAUUAUUGCAUGAUAAUUGAUUGAAAGAUGCUAUUGCAUCACUACCAGAUGGACCUGCGUUGUAUUAGCUAGUAGGUGAGGUAACGGCUCACCUAGGCGACGAUACAUAGCCGACCUGAGAGGGUGAUCGGCCACACUGGGACUGAGACACGGCCCAGACUCCUACGGGAGGCAGCAGUAGGGAAUCUUCGGCAAUGGACGAAAGUCUGACCGAGCAACGCCGCGUGAGGGAAGAAGGUUUUCGGAUCGUAAAGCUCUGUUGUAAGAGAAGAACGGGUGUGAGAGUGGAAAGUUCACACUGUGACGGUAUCUUACCAGAAAGGGACGGCUAACUACGUG